rnacentral:rRNA from 1 species
GACGAACGCUGGCGGCGUGCUUAACACAUGCAAGUCGAACGAGAAUCACUGGAAGGAGUUUUCGGACAACGGAAGGUGAGGACAGUGGCGGACGGGUGAGUAACGCGUGAGGAACCUGCCUUUCAGAGGGGGACAACAGUUGGAAACGACUGCUAAUACCGCAUGACACAUAGAGAUCGCAUGGUUUUUAUGUCAAAGAUUUAUCGCUGAAAGAUGGCCUCGCGUCUGAUUAGCUAGUUGGUGAGGUAACGGCCCACCAAGGCGACGAUCAGUAGCCGGACUGAGAGGUUGACCGGCCACAUUGGGACUGAGAUACGGCCCGGACUCCUACGGGAGGCAGCAGUGGGGAAUAUUGGGCAAUGGGCGCAAGCCUGACCCAGCAACGCCGCGUGAAGGAAGAAGGCUUUCGGGUUGUAAACUUCUUUUGUCGGGGACGAGUAGAAGACGGUACCUGGCGAAUAAGCCGCGGCUAACUACGUGCCAGCAGCCGCGGUAAUACGUAGGUGGCAAGCGUUGUCCGGAUUUACUGGGUGUAAAGGGCGUGUAGCCGGGCAGGCAAGUCAGAUGUGAAAUCCACGGGCUUAACUCGUGAACUGCAUUUGAAACUACUUUUCUUGAGUAUCGGAGAGGCAAUCGGAAUUCCUAGUGUAGCGGUGAAAUGCGUAAAUAUUAGGAGGAACACCAGUGGC